CUACGGGCUGCUCCAGUGAGGAAUAUUGCACAAUGGGGGGAACCCUGAUGCAGCAACGCCGCGUGGAGGAUGACGCAUUUCGGUGUGUAAACUCCUUUUAUAUGUCAAGAAAAUGACGGUAGCAUAUGAAUAAGCACCGGCUAACUCCGUGCCAGCAGCCGCGGUAAUACGGGAGGGUGCAAGCGUUACUCGGAAUCACUGGGCGUAAAGGACGCGUAGGCGGGUUGGAAAGUCAGGUGUGAAAUCCUACAGCUUAACUGUAGAACUGCACUUGAAACUUCUAAUCUAGGGUAUGGGAGGGGGAGAUGGAAUUAGUGGUGUAGGGGUAAAAUCCGUAGAUAUCACUAGGAAUACCUAAAGCGAAGGCGAUCUCCUGGAACAUUACUGACGCUAAGGCGUGAAAGCGUGGGGAGCAAACAGGAUUAGAUACCCCGGUAGUC
rnacentral:rRNA from 1 species